rnacentral:rRNA from 1 species
GGUCAAGCUACAAAGAGCUAACGGUGGAUACCUAGACAGACAGAGGCGAAG